rnacentral:rRNA from 1 species
GCCUUCAGGCCACGGGAAAGCAGUAUAAUCACCAUAUUGUUCGCCAGAGUACUACAAGCGCUAGCUUGAAACCCAAAGGACUUGGCGGUAUCCCAUACCCACCUAGAGGAGCCUGUUCUAUAACUGAUAAUCCCCGUUCAACCUCACCACUUCUUGCCAUUACCGUCUAUAUACCGCCGUCGUCAGCUCACCCUGUGAAGGACUAAAAGUAAGCAAAAAGAAUAAAACUCCAAAACGUCAGGUCGAGGUGUAGCAAAUGAAGUGGGAAGAAAUGGGCUACAUUUUUUACCAAAAAUAUACGAAUGGUGAAUUGAAAAAAUACCUAAAGGUGGAUUUAGCAGUAAGAAGAGGUCAGAGUACUUUUCUGAAAUAGGCUCUGGGAUGCGCACACACCGCCCGGUCACCCUAAAA